rnacentral:lncRNA from 1 species
CUUGUGAAUGCAUGGGGCAGCCCAAUCUCAAACGCCAUCGAGCGGGACUCCUUCUCCGUCAUCUCCUGCUACUUCCAAAGCUGCACCGCUCCUCUCUGCCCAUCUUCCACCGCAGUGCUUGGCCUCCCUCGAGCUCGUCACUAUGACCACCAUGAUAGCAAAGAACUUCAACGACCGUCGUCAAACGACUAGCCGGUCGUGAAGCUUGAAGCACCAUCUUCUCGGCCUCCUUGCUCCGCUCCCUGCAAAUUCCUCUACCCAUCACCCAAAUUUAU